GAUCAGCAAGGCCAUCUGGUGGGGAGUGUGCAGCUGCUCCCCAUUCAUUGUGCCGCCUCUAAUGUAUUCAUUGUAGGUCCCUCGUACAGCUGCGAAAUCAUUAUUCGCAGUUGGUUUUGAACAGUGAGCUCCGUGUCUGGGCAAGACCUGUCUCCUCCGCCCGUCCUGAAGGACAUUUGGAUUGGUCAUCUUCCGAUGUUUGGCAGCCUCCUCACUCUUCCUGACGUCACAUCAAAGCAGGCAAUCUGACAUCUUAAAGAUUUUGAAGAGGAAACAUUUCAAAGGAACACAGGCUGUAAAAGAAGAAAUCUUCAUGGACUCUGUGUGGAUGGUGCGCCAGUCCAUCCUUCAUUGAGGCCAUGAGAUCUUCUAAUCCCUUGGGUGUUCCCAUGUUCUCCAGUGAGAACUCCUCCACUUCAUUUGGUGCCAUGGGAAAAACCUGAAGGACAGGAAGAAUUGCUCCCGACCUUGUGGCUUUUUCCAGGAUUGCAGUGGCUCUUACAGACCAUGACAAUUGGAGAUCAUUCGUGUUGUUUUUCGGAGUCGAACCAAAGAACACGCUUCCUCAUUCUCUGGUGUUUUAGCGCCUGAUCAUUUUUAUAUUUGUUUCUGUUGCUUGUGUCUUUCAACCAUUGUAUGUGAUCACGAGACGUCCUUGAAGUUUUCCAGCACGACUUGCAGGCAUCCGGACUCCCUGGGGGCUCGCCCAUGGCUCGGCGGGCCAGCAGCCCAAGGGCAUUACGAUGAGGCACUGCAUUAACUGCUGCAUCCAGCUGUUGCCCGACGAAGCACACACACAGCAGGUCAGCUGCCGAGGAGGCCCCCAUCACAGUCGCCAGGAGUGCCCCAUGUGCAAAGGAGAAAACAAAAUUGUGUUUCGAGUGGACGGUAAGCAGAUGAACUUGCUUGCCGUUCUCGAAGUGAGGGCUGAAGGGAAUGAGAGCUGGAGUGGGUUUUUGCGCUUCAAGAAGGGGAAGCGAUGCAGCCUCGUAUUUGGAUUGAUAAUAAUGACGUUGGUGAUGGCUUCUUACAUCCUUUCUGGGGUCCACCAAGAGCUUCUGAUCUCAUCACCUUUCCAUUACGGAGCCCUCCCCAGCAAUCCCAGCUUGAUGGAUGGUGAAAAUCCGAGUGACACAAAAGAGCAUCAUCACCAACCCUCUGUAAAUAAUAUUUCGUACGUGAAGGACGAUCCAAGCAUUAAAUUAAUUAUCAGCAGCAUCACAGCCAGGAUUGAGUUCACAACCAGACAGCUCCCAGACGUGGAAGAUCUCAAGAAGCAGGAAUUGCACAUGUUUUCAGUCAUCCCGCACAAAUUCCUCCCCAACAGUAAGAGCCCCUGUUGGUACGAGGAGUUCACGGGGAGGAACACCACCGACCCUUAUCUGACCAACUCCUACGUGCUCUACUCCAAGCGCUUCCGCUCCACCUUCGACGCCCUGCGCAAGGCCUUCUGGGGCCACCUGUCCCACGCGCACGGCAAGCACUUCCGCCUCCGCUGCCUGCCGCACUUCUACAUCAUCGGGCAGCCCAAGUGCGGCACCACCGACCUCUACGACCGCCUGCGGCUGCACCCGGAAGUGAAGUUCUCCGCCAUCAAGGAGCCGCACUGGUGGACCCGGAAGCGCUUCGGAAUCGUCCGCCUGAGAGAUGGUCUGCGGGACCGCUAUCCCGUGGAAGAUUAUCUGGACCUCUUUGACCGGGCUGCACACCAGAUUCAUCAAGGACUGCAGGCCAGCUCUGCAAAGGAACAGAGCAAGAUGAAUAGAAUCAUUAUCGGGGAGGCCAGCGCCUCCACCAUGUGGGAUAACAACGCCUGGACGUUCUUCUACGACAACAGCACGGAUGGCGAGCCCCCCUUUCUGACCCAGGACUUCAUCCACGCCUUUCAGCCAGACGCGAAACUGAUCGUCAUGCUGAGGGACCCUGUGGAGAGGUUGUAUUCAGACUAUCUCUACUUUGCAAGUUCGAAUAAAUCUGCAGAUGACUUCCAUGAGAAAGUGACAGAAGCGCUGCAGCUGUUUGAAACUUGCGUGCUGGGUUAUUCACUGCGCGCCUGUGUCUACAACAACACUCUUAACAACGCCAUGCCUGUGAGGCUGCAGGUCGGGCUGUACGCCGUGUACCUUCUGGACUGGCUCACGGUCUUUAAUAAAGAACAGUUCCUCAUUCUCCGCCUGGAAGACCACGCCUCUAACGUCAAGCACACCAUGCACAGGGUCUUCCAGUUUCUCAGCCUCGGGCCCUUAAGUGAGAAACAAGAGGCCUUGAUGACCAAGAGCCCCGCAUCCAAUGCGCGGCGUCCCGAGGACCGGAACCUGGGGCCCAUGUGGCCGGUCACACAGAGGCUCCUGCGGGACUUCUACGGGCCUUUUAACGCCCGGCUGGCGCAGGUCCUCGCCGACGAGGCCUUCCUGUGGAAGAAGACGUGACGCCGGGUUCCCGCUGCCACCAUGAUUUCCAUGCUUUGAAAAUCUCUCUUGGUGGGGAACCCUUUCGCUCAGAGCCUGGAGAAAACCCUUCCCCGGCCCACGUUUAUGGAAACCAGUUCAGAAUUUCCUUUGUGAUGUUAAACAGCCUGGCGAUGGACCCUUCACCGAGCCUCGGAUGGAGGCUGUUGGAAAUUCCACUUGGGAAAGGGUCCCCUUCUGCUCCGAGAGUGGCUGGGGUCCGGGAUGAGGCCGGCGGACGCUGGGCUGGGUGCCGGGAGGGAAGCGUGGAGUCUGGGCUUUGACAGUUCUGGGUGGAGGUCCCGCCCCGGGGCUGGCCAGACGUACACUAUACAUUCAGCUUCGAAACCCUCUGUCUGGAUCACUAACCUCAUUUUGGCGGAGAAUGGCGGCUCUCAUUUUUUUUUCCCUUUUACCCCAACGUCAGCCCUUCCGUCUCUUCAGAUUUCAACCCUGUUAACUUCACUGUUGACGAGAAAAAAGACAAAAGUCGAUUUUUGGUAGCACAUUUGUGUCUGGGACCUCCUCCCCUUCUGGCCUUGUGGACUUCACUUAUGUUUAACAGAAAACGAACGCAUUUAAAACAAACCACUUUCUACGUUUCACUGGCUGGAGUUUUCUUUUCUGGCCCUUUAGAUGUUUUCUCAAGGUUUUUUUCAGUUUCUAAUUGGAAUAUAACUUCAGUUUAAAAUCGGAAGGGAAAGUUUUGCUGUUAAUGCCAGACUGAGCACCUCGAAGGAACUGAUGGAAAAUCUGGGCAUCUUGGCCGUCGCCGUGCAUCUGAGGUCCUCAGAGAACCGCAGCCGUUUGAGGUUUUAGUUGCAGGUGCGACAGGCUCCGCUGCUCUGCCUUUCCUCCCAAGUGAACUUGUUAGCACAUUCUCCGCCAUGUGUGGACAGAGGUCCUUCCUCACUCAACGAACUGUAGGAUGCUUUUUUCUGAUUCGGAAGCACAGCACGUGAGCUAUGCCUGGGCCAGGCAUGCUGUGCUGGGAUUUGGAACGAGAAUGCCGGGAGCUGUGUCCUUGACAGAACUUCCUGGGCCACUUGGCAUCCUGGUUUACUGUUGGAUGGGCUGAAGGUCUUGCUGUUACUUGGAGGUGAUGGGAAAGAUUGAACACAGUCCUUGCGCACAGCCCCAGGCGAGACCCCAACCAAGCCUUGCACGUGGUCGUCAAGGGAAGCUUCUGCGAAUCAGAGCUCCCCAAGUCGAGGUCCCGGAUGCACACCAGUCAGAGAAUGCAAAUGCCCGCACUCCCAGCCGCCAGUCGUGGGAGUGAGGAUUUGCUGAGCUGUCCAGCCCUAGUGCCGUUGGAGAUGGGAUGCUCAGCCCACUUGAAGGCAUGUGGAGGGCUCUGAAUGGCACGGCCGGGCUGUUUCUGCUGUGAAGGAGCCAUGGGCCUGAACACCCGCUUUUAGGGACAGGCCCCCAUUUCUCUCCCGGUGGCCCUCGGAGCAGCAGCCAGCAGGCAAACCUGGCCUGAGCACAAGGAACUUCCCUUCCAGACCUCCUAGGAGGAGCAGAGAGAGGGAUGUUCAACAGCUGAACUUGAACGGGGAACGUGUGCUCCUGAACUGAGCAUGUCAACUUCACCGAGAGCAUCAGGCAAGGGGCUGGAAACAAAGGCAGCGACCAUCCUCGUGGAAGAUGACCAGGCCUGGUGCACUCAGGAGAAACGCUGAGAGCUUGCCAAAAACCCAGGCAGAAGGCACAGGGCCUCCUUCGUCCUUCUGUCUGCAGUAACCUUGAACUUCAAGGAGCUGAACGGGCCUGAUGCCAGGAGCUAAACUGGAGCAACCGCUGGCCCCAAAUUAGGAAUUUAUAAGCGGCUCUGGGCUUAUAAGCAUCAAAAGCAUAUUCUUGCCCCAGUAGAGUUCGCCGGGAUCCAGAAAGAGUCACACAAAGAGAGACCAAGAGAAACAAAAUCUCUGGAGAGUUACAUUUGGGGUGGCUGGAGGCUAGGUCGGCCCUAGGGUGACCUACGUGUCCCGGUUUCCCAGGACUUUCUUGAAUUCAGCACUGAAAGUCCUGCAUUCUGGAAACCCGCUUGGUCCGGUCACCCGGUUGGCCUGGUGGCUGGAAUUGCAGGACAGUAGAGAGCCAUGGACUCCUGUUCUGUCCCUCUGCUGGGUCCUGCUCACCUGGCUGGCUGUGGGUUGGGACUCGAGGGGCAAGGCCUCCCAGCAGCCCCCAUGGCUGGGGGCACCUGCAGCGUUUGGGGGACAAGCCUGGUCCCUGAAGAGCACGGGGAGAGAGUCCCUCUUCUCGUUGCUGCCACUUCCCGUCCGACACCUGGAAGGAAAUCUGUGUGGCCUGAGUGUAUGUGGAGGGACAAGGACUUGAUGGAAAGCUUUCCAUAAACACAGACCAGCAGGGCAAAGGGCGGGGUUCUCAGACAAGGCAGGCACCUCCCUGGUUGCAGCUGAUGGUGGUACAUGCACAUCCCUCGGUGCCCAGCAUCUUCAGGCCCCUGUCCUCACCACUGUGUCUCCAGUGUGAGGCAAGGCGGGGAGGCCUGGGGGGAUGGUGGCACAGAAGACCCCCUCCCCUUCUGCCCCGAGCCUGCUUCCUAGGCUGGGAAUUAGAGGACAUUUAUUUAAAUAUUUUAAAAUAGCACCCAAACAGUUUGACCGUCCUUGCCAGGAGAAAAGAUGAAGCAGCACCCCGUGCGCCGAGCUGGCCCCCUCUCCGCAGAGAACAGACCUCAGGGGCCUGGGAAGCGGUCUGCGAGGAGCGAGCUGGCGGCCAAGCUUCCUGCCCUGAGCCCGGAGCCCUGAGCACUGUGGUAUUCCCUCGUCAGGGGUUUGCAGUGACAAUGGGAUGCUGAAAUUCAGAACAUCCUUACCACCCCUCACUCCCAAAAUGUAUUUAUAUACGUUUGCACUGUU